rnacentral:rRNA from 1 species
GAUGAACGCUGGCGGCGUGCUUAACACAUGCAAGUCGAACGGAAAGGCUCCUGCUUGCCGGGGUACUCGAGUGGCGAACGGGUGAGUAACACGUGGGUGAUCUGCCCUGCACUUCGGGAUAAGCCUGGGAAACUGGGUCUAAUACCGGAUAGGACGAUGGUUUGGAUGCCAUUGUGGAAAGUUUUUCGGUGUGGGAUGAGCUCGCGGCCUAUCAGCUUGUUGGUGGGGUAAUGGCCUACCAAGGCGUCGACGGGUAGCCGGCCUGAGAGGGUGUACGGCCACAUUGGGACUGAGAUACGGCCCAGACUCCCACGGGAGGCAGCAGUGGUGAAUAUUGCACAAUGGGCGCAAGCCUGAUGCAGCGACGCCGCGUGGGGGAUGACGGCCUUCGGGUUGUAAACUCCUUUCGCUAGGGACGAAGCGCAAGUGACGGUACCUGGAGAAGAAGCACCGGCUAACUACGUG